CAGUCGCCGCGGUAAUACGAAGGGUGCAAGCGUUAAUCGGAAUUACUGGGCGUAAAGGGUGCGUAGGCGGUUGUUUAAGUCUGUUGUGAAAUCCCCGGGCUCAACCUGGGAAUGGCAAUGGAAACUGGACGGCUAGAGUGUGUCAGAGGAUGGUGGAAUUUCCGGUGUAGCAGUGAAAUGCGUAGAGAUCGGAAGGAACAUCUGGGGCGAAGGCGGCCCCCUGGACAAAGACUGACGCUCAGGUGCGAAAGCGUGGGGAGCAAACGGGAUUAGAUACCCGUGUAGUCCCUGUCUCUUAUAC
rnacentral:rRNA from 1 species